UACGUAGGUGGCAAGCGUUGUCCGGAUUUACUGGGCGUAAAGAGCGCGCAGGCGGUCGUCCAAGUCGCGUGUGAAAGCCCCCGGCUCAACUGGGGAGGGUCAUUCGAUACUGAUCGACUCGAAGGCAGGAGAGGGGAAGCGGAAUUCCCGGUGUAGUGGUGAAAUGCGUAGAUAUCGGGAGGAACACCAGUGGCGAAGGCGGCUUCCUGGCCUGUUCUUGACGCUGAGGCGCGAAAGCUAGGGGAGCAAAC
rnacentral:rRNA from 1 species